GUGCUUGCUUCGGCAGCACAUAUACUAAAAUUGGAACGAUACAGAGAUUAGCAUGGCCCCUGCUCAAGGAUGACACGAAAAUUCGUGAAGCGUUCCAUAAAUUA
rnacentral:snRNA from 1 species